AUUCAGCUGACGAGUCCUAAAUAGGAUGAAACGUGCAUCCUGAAU
rnacentral:hammerhead_ribozyme from 1 species